CCUACGGGUGGCAGCAGUGGGGAAUAUUGGACAAUGGGCGAAAGCCUGAUCCAGCCAUGCCGCGUGUGUGAAGAAGGCCUUCGGGUUGUAAAGCACUUUCAGUGGGGAAGAAAGCCUUGGGGCUAAUACCCUCGAGGAAGGACAUCACCCACAGAAGAAGCACCGGCUAACUCCGUGCCAGCAGCCGCGGUAAUACGGAGGGUGCGAGCGUUAAUCGGAAUUACUGGGCGUAAAGCGCGCGUAGGCGGUCUGAUAAGCCGGUUGAGAAAGCCCCGGGCUCAACCUGGGAACGGCAUCCGGAACUGUCAGGCUAGAGUGCAGGAGAGGAAGGUAGAAUUCCCGGUGUAGCGGUGAAAUGCGUAGAGAUCGGGAGGAAUACCAGUGGCGAAGGCGGCCUUCUGGACUGACACUGACGCUGAGGUGCGAAAGCGUGGGUAGCAAACAGGAUUAGAUACCCGAAGUGGUC
rnacentral:rRNA from 1 species